UACAGAGGUCUCAAGCGUUGUUCGGAUUCAUUGGGCGUAAAGCGCACGUAGGCGGCCGACUAAGUCGGAUGUGAAAGCCCAGGGCUCAACCCUGGAAGUGCAUUCGAAACUGGCCGGCUUGAAUAUGGAAGAGGGUCGCGGAAUUCCCGGUGUAGAGGUGAAAUUCGUAGAUAUCAGGAGGAACACCGGUGGCGAAGGCGGAUCUCUGGGCCUUGCCUGACGCUGAGGCGCGAAAGCUAGGGGAGCGAACAGG
rnacentral:rRNA from 1 species